AACAAACGCUGGCGGCGUGCCUAAUACAUGCAAGUCGAACGGGGAAAGCUUUCGGGUGAGUACUAGUGGCGCACGGGUGAGUAACGCGUGGAUAAUCUGCCUCGAAGAGGGGGAUAACCAGUCGAAAGAUUGGCUAAUACCGCAUAAGACCACAGGAACUGAGGUUCUAGCGGUCAAAGGUUUUUCGCUUCAAGAUGAGUCCGCGUAAGAUUAGCUAGUUGGUGAGGUAACGGCUCACCAAGGCGACGAUCUUUAACUGGUCUGGGAGGAUGAUCAGUCACACUGGAACUGAGACACGGUCCAGACUCCUACGGGAGGCAGCAGUAGGGAAUAUUGCACAAUGGAGGAAACUCUGACGCAGCAACGCCGCGUGCGGGAAGAAGGCUCUCGGGUUGUAAACCGCUUUCAGCAGGAACGAAAAUGACGGUACUUGCAGAAGAAGGUGCGGCCAACUACGUGCCAGCAGCCGCCGUAACAC
rnacentral:rRNA from 1 species